GAUGAACGCUAGCGGCAGGCUUAACACAUGCAAGUCGAGGGGUAUAGGUUUUCGGACCUAGAGACCGGCGCACGGGUGCGUAACGCGUAUGCAAUCUACCUUUCACAGAGGGAUAGCCCAGAGAAAUUUGGAUUAAUACCUCAUAGUAUUAUAGAAUGGCAUCAUUUUAUAAUUAAAGUCACAACGGUGAAAGAUGAGCAUGCGUCCCAUUAGCUAGUUGGUAUGGUAACGGCAUACCAAGGCAACGAUGGGUAGGGGUCCUGAGAGGGAGAUCCCCCACACUGGUACUGAGACACGGACCAGACUCCUACGGGAGGCAGCAGUGAGGAAUAUUGGUCAAUGGGCGCAAGCCUGAACCAGCCAUGCCGCGUGCAGGAUGACGGUCCUAUGGAUUGUAAACUGCUUUUGCACAGGAAGAAACAACGCUACGUGUAGCGUCUUGACGGUACUGUGAGAAUAAGGAUCGGCUAACUCCGUGCCAGC
rnacentral:rRNA from 1 species